rnacentral:rRNA from 1 species
UUGUCCGGAAUCAUUGGGCGUAAAGGGUACGUAGGCGGUUAAAAAAGUUAGAAGUGAAAGGCUAUAGCUCAACUAUAGUAAGCUUUUAAAACUGUUUAACUUGAGAGAUGGAAGGGAAAGUGGAAUUCCUAGUGUAGCGGUGAAAUGCGCAGAUAUUAGGAGGAAUACCGGUGGCGAAGGCGACUUUCUGGCCAUUAUCUGACGCUGAGGUAUGAAAGCGUGGGUAGCAAACAGGAUUAGAUACCCUGGUAGUCAAGGGCG